rnacentral:rRNA from 1 species
CCGCCGAAUUUAAGCAUAUCAAAAGCCCGGAGGACAA